AGCUGAAAGAAAUGAAGACAGAAAGAACCAUAGGUCAGUCUGGAGUGGUGAGGUUGAAGCUCAAGAUGUUGUACUUGUGUCACUGGCAUGAAGUCUGAGAUCUCAACGUUUAAAGUUGAAAGACCCUCUCAAAACCACCAUUUUCAAUAGAGGGGUCUCACCAGGCUCAGGGCUGGAUAGCUUUGUAUUCUAAUCAGUGUCCAAUCCUGGGUCAGCUCCCCUCAUUCCCCUUUCAGUUAAACAACUUCUAACACCUUCCUGCCACACAUGCCACACCCACUAAUCCAUAUGUUCUUAGCCCAGUUCCCCAAACUAGCUGUUUCCAGCUCGGACAUGUGAACCAAAGGCCUUCAUCAAAGCUCCACAGGAAUAGUGUCGCUAACAGGCCCCACCAGAAGCUGUAGAGGAGAGAGGUAACAGGAGAAGAAAGCAAAAUGCAAGAAACCUGGCCAAGUCCCCAAGACCAUGUGAACAGACAAAUGUGCCUCUCUGGCCUGCACAAUCCAUUCAGGGAAAACUGUCCCAUUACCUUGGCUCAGGUAAUCUUUAACAAAGCUGUUGAAAAAUGUAACCAUCUAGGAAGAUGAUUCUGAAGUUUGCUGGAGAAAUGAGCAUUCUCUCUUCCAACACAUUUGAAUGACAUAUAGAAAGACUGCAGAUGCUUCAGAAAGUAGCAUCAGAAAUGGAAAGACCCAGGGGCGCCUGGGUGGCACAGCGGUUAAGCGUCUGCCUUCGGCUCAGGGCGUGAUCCCGGUGUUGUGGGAUCAAGCCACAUCAGGUUCCUCUGCUGUGACUGCUUCUUCCUCUCCCACUCCCCCUGCUUGUGUUCCCUCUCUCGCUGGCUGUCUUCUAUCUCUGUCAAAUAAAUAAAUAAAAUCUUUAAAAAAAAAAAAAAAAAGGAAAGACCUAAAGUGUUGGUACCACUGCAACCUACUCAUACUUAUGGGUAGCAAAGGUCUUUGCCAAGUCACCAGGCCCACAUGGGGUACAGCCCCAUCUGUAGUCACACUCUGCCUAUGAAGCCUUCACCCAGCCCAGAGCCUAAUGUCCUCCCUCACCCCUACUUCUCUCCUGGUUUGAGUCUUUUGUUCCAGGGUGUUGGAAGACAGCGCUGCUCCUGGUACAUCAACCUGCAGGUGCAUUAAGACACUAGACCGUAUUCAUCGCUUCUCUUCAGAGGGUACCAAAAUGUAAAAUAAAAAAAUCCCACAGCUCUUCACUAUUUCAUCUGGACUACCUUCUCCCAGAAAGCUGGGGUUAGGGAUUCUAGAACAUGACCCUGUCCUUGUGAGAAAACACGGAGAAGCCCAGACCUGGGUGAAGAGAAUGUUGGCUUCACAGUGGUGCAGCAUUUAAAAACCCUCAAACUUCAGAUGAAGAGAACAAGGUUGCCUCAAGUUGCCAAUCCCAGAAAAAUAAACCAUUAACGUUUGGAAAGCCAAGGAGGAUGCUUCCCUUGGCUUUGUAUAGCAGCAUUAAUUUGUUCUCUCAAAACAGCAGAAAGGAACCACUGAGAUGAAGUCAUUCAGUUUCCUCAAUGCACAGAAGGAACUGAAACCAGAAAGAAGUAUCUAUCUGACUCAGAAAAAGCCAGUAAAGGUUCAUUGGUUAAACUGCCAUGCACAAGGAGAGUGAAUGGAUUAUGAAUUCGACAACUUAGGACAUGGCUAAAAAAUCAGCGAGGCAAGGGGCGCCUGGGUGGCACAGCGGUUAAGCGUCCGCCUUUGGCUCAGGGCGUGAUCCUGGCGUUGUGGGAUCGAGCCCCACAUCAGGCUCUUCUGCUAUGAGCCUGCUUCUUCCUCUCCCCCCCCCCCCCCCGCUUGUGUUCCCUCUCUCGCUGGCUGUCUCUAUCUCUGUCGAAUAAAUAAAAUAAAAUCUUAAAAAAAAAAAAAAUCAGCGAGGCAAGGAAAAAACAUCUAGAGAUUUCUCCAUCUCUGUGGCAUCAGGCUUUCAGGAGAAAGAUCCAGGUCAGAAGGACUUAAACUGACUUCUUCUCUUCUAUUAGAGGAAGAAACUGUAAGGCUCAUUUACAGAAUCCUUGCUAUAUUUACCAAGCUCUAUACUAACCAUGUUUGAUAUAGUAGCUCAAUAUAUUCUCAAAAUAGUUCUGUGACCUCAGUUUUCUCAUCAGCAAGAUUAGAACCAAGGAAGGCAUUUCAUCACCCUGAUGCUUGUCGUGCACUGCUGGAGUCAGACUGACGCAGUGUAGAUUGUGUUUGACACAGAGCUGCUAUGUGGCCUUAGGCCCCCUGACUGCACGGAACCUCAACUUUCUACAAUACAUGGGUGCAGGGACUAAAUGAAAGAUCAUAUGGAAAGAGCUUACCAUUGGACCUGACAAAUACAAGUUCCUUCCCCCAUUCCAGAUCCAGUGCUCCUAUGAGCUGUGGUACAGUCAGGUGGUGGUAAGUGGGACACACUGGUAACCCUGGCUGCCUCUAGUAAUUAAGAGCAUACCUUUCUAUCUUGAGUCCACUCUUAGUGGUCAGAACCUGAGUAGCACUAAGCAUAUACCUGUUGACUGACUGGCUCAUAUUGGGUGUUGUGGAAGGAGCACAUAGCACUGGGAGCCGGGAGGCCUGGGUGGGAGCUCUGGCUCCUACCCUAGCUUGCUGAAUGGUCUUGACCUCUCUGGCCCUCAGUUUUCUCAUCUGUAAAACAAGGGGAAUAGAUCAGACAUUCUAAUUUUUUUUUCACAUUAUUAUGAAAUGUUGGGCCAUCCCAAGCCCUUCUGCCAAGGUCCUGGGCUACAAGGGUAAUUCAGUGCCUCGACACUUUCCAUAGCUUGAUUCUUGGCUUAUGGCUAGUUGGCUUUAGCAUAAAUCUGUGACCUUACUUGCCAACAACUAUAAGCAAUGACUUAGACAUCUUAAUGCUCUUACCACUUCAACCCCUGGGAACAGGGACUCUAGAGGGCUCUCCUUUGGUAAAGGUACACUGGUCAAUGUGGGGGGGGGGGAUCUUGCUGACUUGUGCUUAAAUAUCACAGGGUCCUGGAGGUCCAAUUUAGGAAAGAUAGCUGGCUCCAGAGAAGACAGGUGAGGACAGAGGAGGAGGAACAAGAGAGGGACACAGGAAGAACCAUCAAACUCCCUAUUAAUAAUAGCAGAAAAAUAAGUACCAAGUAUUUGACUGAAUUAUGGGGCUGGGCGGGGGGGCAAAGAGAGAUGGGUGAAAGGAAAUGAAGGGGUGAUAUGAAUGAAGACUCCUAAAAAUGAGCAUUAAUGUUUGUCUGAAGAUUCAGAACCAUAUUGCCCAGUAACAGGAUUCCUGGUCAAUACAUUCAAGUACAAAGGUAGUCUCAUUAUAAUGAAACUAAUAUAACCACUGUUGUUCUGGCCAGGUAAGAAGCCCAGGAGUAAGGAUCCAUUUAUGAGAGCUUUCUUCCUGAUAGCAGUUCUGCCAGAACAGCUCCCUAAAAACAGGGGCAGGGACCACAGGACCCGGAGCUGGUCAUCCGUGAUCCUGGUGCGAGGCCUCUUGUUCUGCUGUUGGAGGAGGCUUGGAUUUAGCUGAUGCUGGUACAGCUGGGCCAGGUCCGCGGGCAGAGGCUCCACAGGUCCAAGCUGAGGGGGCAGCUGAGCCGGCAAGGUCUGCAGUGGCAUCGUCUGCAUCAUCAGCGGUGAGAAGAUGGGCAGCUCCAUGGGCAUGGAGAGUUGGCAUAGGAAGCCUGAAUCUUCUCUCACAGAACCUGGGUCAGCAGAAGAGGAUUUCACAUCUCCACUGUGCUCUGCGCUUACAGAAGGCAAGAUGUUCUUUCCCAGAUCCUCUGAGGUUUCUGUAAUUUAAAAAAAG